ACUCCUACGGGAGGCAGCAGUGGGGAAUAUUGCACAAUGGGCGCAAGCCUGAUGCAGCGACGCCGCGUGAGGGAUGACGGCCUUCGGGUUGUAAACCUCUGUUAGCAGGGAAGAAGAGAGAUUGACGGUACCUGCAAAG
rnacentral:rRNA from 1 species